GAUGAAGAACGUAGCGAAAUGCGAUAAGUAGUGUGAAUUGCAGAAUUCAGUGAAUCAUCGAAUCUUUGUACGCACAUUGCGCCCCAUGGUAUUCCGUGGGGCAUGCCUGUUCGAGCGUCAUUUACCCCCUCAAGCUCCGCUUGGUGUUGGGCGUCUGUCCCGCUUCGCGCGCGGACUCGCCCCAAAGGUAUUGGCAGCGGUCGUGCCAGCUUCUCGCGCAGCACAUUGCGCUUCUCGAGGCACCGGUGGGCCCGCGUCCAUCAAGCUCACCCCCCCAGUUUGACCUCGGAUCAGGUAGGGAUACCCGCUGAACUUAAGCAUAUCAAUAAGCGGAGGA
rnacentral:misc_RNA from 1 species